rnacentral:rRNA from 1 species
GAACGGGUGAGUAAUGUAUCGGAACAUAUCCGCAAGUGGGGGAUAACGUAGCGAAAGUUACGCUAAUACCGCAUAUUCCCUGAGGGGGAAAGGAGGGGAUCCGCAAGGACCUUUCGCUUACGGAGUGGCCGAUAUCAGAUUAGCUAGUUGGUGGGGUAAAGGCCUACCAAGGCGACGAUCUGUAGCGGGUCUGAGAGGAUGAUCCGCCACACUGGGACUGAGACACGGCCCAGACUCCUACGGGAGGCAGCAGUGGGGAAUUUUGGACAAUGGGGGCAACCCUGAUCCAGCCAUGCCGCGUGAGUGAAGAAGGCCUUCGGGUUGUAAAGCUCUUUCAGCUGGAAAAAAAUCGCAUCACCUAAUACGUGGUGUGGAUGAUGGUACCAGCAGA